AAGCGGAGGAAAAGAAACCAACAGGGAUUGCCUCAGUAGCGGCGAGUGAAGCGGCAAAAGCUCAAAUUUGAAAUCUGGCACUUUCAGUGUCCGAGUUGUAAUUUGAAGAAGGUAUCUUUGGGUCUGGCUCUUGUCUAUGUUUCUUGGAACAGAACGUCACAGAGGGUGAGAAUCCCGUGCGAUGAGAUGACCCAGACCUAUGUAAAGUUCCUUCGAAGAGUCGAGUUGUUUGGGAAUGCAGCUCUAAGUGGGUGGUAAAUUCCAUCUAAAGCUAAAUAUUGGCGAGAGACCGAUAGCGAACAAGUACAGUGAUGGAAAGAUGAAAAGAACUUUGAAAAGAGAGUGAAAAAGUACGUGAAAUUGUUGAAAGGGAAGGGCUUGAGAUCAGACUUGGUAUUUUGCAUGUUACUCUCUCGGGGGUGGCCGCUGCAGUUUACCGGGCCAGCAUCAGUUUGGGCGGUAGGAUAAUUGCAGAGAAAUGUGGCACUGCCUCGGUAGUGUGUUAUAGUCUUUGUCGAUACUGCCAGCCUAGACUGAGGACUGCGGCUUCGGCCUAGGAUGUUGGCAUAAUGAUCUUAAGUCGCCCGUCUUGA
rnacentral:rRNA from 1 species